AGAGCUCAGUGGUUUGAGCGCGGUGCUGACGAGGACCAACACCGAGGUCGUGGGUUCGAUUCCCGCU
rnacentral:tRNA from 1 species